CUCAAAGGUUGACCUCGGAUCAGGUAGGGAUACCCGCUGAACUUAA
rnacentral:rRNA from 1 species